rnacentral:lncRNA from 10 species
CACACUCAGGGCUGGCAGGCCCUCACUGGGUGUGAAGAUGCCCUGGGUUUCCAAGUUUCCAAUCACGCUGGUGUUUAGCCAAGGGCGACCCCAAAAGAAGCCCCAGCCCUGAAGAAAGAUGGGUCCUGAGGCCACACUCAACAUCCCUGCCCUGCACUGGGCUCCUCUCUUGGGUAUCCUCUUUCUAAGCAGCAACAUCUGGCAUGGACUGAAAGUUGAAUUGUGAAAAUGAAAAUGCCUCUCUAUUGGUUUUAUGAUCAUCCCUUGUGUAAGUCACAUUACGAGAGCUGCUUUUGGCGUGGUCUCUAAUUCCUCACCACUUCUUUGUCUUGCAUCCUGCUCCAUGGCCUUCCUCCCAAGCCAUUCUACCGAUGACCCUGGCCUUGAACCCUCACAUUGUCAAAUCCACACUCCCCACUCCCUCAGCAGCAUCACCCUGGGUGACGACACACGUAGCCUUCCUAAGGCCUUUGUGACCCCAUUCUGUGUGGCUUACCCCUUCCUUCUCAGACUCGGUGAGACUUGUUCCAUCUUCCCAAGGUUCCCGAACUCUGUGGGCCCUCGUCUUAUCUCCCCGGCCAGCCCAUCCAUCACGUGACCUCCAGCACUGUGGCCUGUGUGUGCCAGGCCCUCCAAGGAGCUCAGGUACUACCUGAUCCCAUGACUUGGAUGUCCAAGAAAUCUCUCAAACUUGACGUGCCCCAAACUUAAUCACUAAUUUUUCCCUUGAAAUCUGUUCUCUCCCAGUCUUUCUCAAGUCUGUGUGAGCCACCUCUGUCCACCCAGUUUCUCAAUGAUGAAUCUUAGAAAUUGUCCUGCUUCCUCUUAUUCCCUCACUCUCUGCAUCCAGCUCAUCAGCAAGUCCCACUGGUUCUGCUUUCACAUGUACCCCCAAUCUGUCCACGUCUCCCUACUUAUUGCCUGGGUCCCCCAUGAGAUGUAAGCUCCCUUAAGUGCAGGGACUUUGUUUUGCUCACUAUUAUGGAUCGGACCCAGGACCUGGCCAAGUGCCCACUGCCAGUGAGUUCUAAGUUCCCCGUUGUUGAAUGAAUGACCGAGUUUCAUUUCCUCUAGCAAGGAGCCCUGCAGAGUGGGACUGGGCCCCACUUCCUCUUGGGGUGAGUUAUGUCUAAACUAAAUGGUGCCCUUCCCUUCCCUUGCCUUCCCUGUCUCAGCACAGGGCACCCCACACCCAGGAUUUCUUCUCAGCCCAGUCCCCUCCUUCCAUACUCAUCUCCUGUGUGGGUCACCUGCCUCUGGUUUCUCGGCUCUACCAGCUUUUUCCAUCUCUGCUGACAUUGCCCUGGUCCCCAUGUGUCAUUUCUCACCUGAAUAGAUUACUUUGCUUCUCUAAUCCCCUCUCCACAAAGCAGGGUUUAUGUGAUCUUUUCAAAACUCAAAUCGGAUCACGUCACUUUCCUACUUAGAACUCUUCAAUCUUCUCCUGAGGCCUGAUGGUAAAAUCCCACAUCAGACACGGCACUGCUUACUGUGCUCUCAAGACACCCCCUGUGUCUCCCACCUCCACCCCUGCUUGGCUGGCUCACGUCAGUCUCACCUUGCUGGGCCCUCAGACCAGCUAGGGACCCACUGCUGCCCAGUCCCGGGGGAGCUGCUUCUCCGAUGCCUG